AACGAACGCUGGCGGCAGGCCUAAAACAUGCAAGUCGAACGAACCUUCGGGUUAGUGGCGCACGGGUGAGUAACGCGUGGGAAUAUGCCCUUCACUACGGAACAACGUCGGGAAACUGACGCUAAUACCGUAUAAUGUCUCCGGACCAAAGAUUUAUCGGUGAAGGAUUAGCCCGCGUUAGAUUAGCUAGUUGGUAAGGU
rnacentral:rRNA from 1 species